UACGUAGGGUGCAAGCGUUGUCCGGAAUUAUUGGGCGUAAAGAGCUCGUAGGCGGUUUGUUGCGUCUGCUGUGAAAUCCCGAGGCUCAACCUCGGGCUUGCAGUGGGUACGGGCAGACUAGAGUGCGGUAGGGGAGACUGGAAUUCCUGGUGUAGCGGUGGAAUGCGCAGAUAUCAGGAGGAACACCGAUGGCGAAGGCAGGUCUCUGGGCCGCAACUGACGCUGAGGAGCGAAAGCAUGGGGAGCGAACAGG
rnacentral:rRNA from 1 species